AAGGAAGGCGGGCGGCAUGCCUUACACAUGCAAGUCGAACGGCAGCAUGACCUAGCUUGCUAGGUUGAUGGCGAGUGGCGAACGGGUGAGUAAUGCAUCGGAACGUGCCUUUUAGUGGGGGAUAACGUAGCGAAAGUUACGCUAAUACCGCAUAUUCUCUGAGGAGGAAAGCAGGGGACCUUCGGGCCUUGCGCUAGAAGAGCGGCCGAUGUCGGAUUAGCUAGUUGGUGAGGUAAAGGCUCACCAAGGCAACGAUCCGUAGCGGGUCUGAGAGGAUGAUCCGCCACACUGGGACUGAGACACGGCCCAGACUCCUACGGGAGGCAGCAGUGGGGAAUUUUGGACAAUGGGCGCAAGCCUGAUCCAGCCAUGCCGCGUGAGUGAAGAAGGCCUUCGGGUUGUAAAGCUCUUUCGGCUGGGAAGAAAUCGCACCCUCUAAUACAGGGUGUGGAUGACGGUACCAGCAUAAGAAGCACCGGCUAACUACGUG
rnacentral:rRNA from 1 species